rnacentral:rRNA from 1 species
UACGAAGGGGGCUAGCGUUGUUCGGAAUUACUGGGCGUAAAGCGCGCGCAGGCGGUCCUUCAAGUCAGAGGUGAAAGCCCAGGGCUCAACCCUGGAACUGCCUUUGAAACUGGAGGACUUGAGUACGGGAGAGGUGAGUGGAAUUCCGAGUGUAGAGGUGAAAUGCGUAGAUAUCGGAAGGAACACCGGUGGCGAAAGCGGCACGCUGGGCCUCUUCUGACGCUGAGGCGCGAAAGCCAGGGGAGCAAACGGG